CAAUAGCGUAUAUUAAAGUUGUUGCAGUUAAAAAGCUCGUAGUUGGAUUUGUGGUUCGUCCCGCCGGCUGGGUCAUUGACCUUUGCUGUGCUGGUCGUCCAUCCUUGGGUGGAAUCUGUGUGGCAUUAGGUUGUCGCGCAGGGGAUGCCCAUCGUUUACUGUGAAAAAAUUAGAGUGUUCAAAGCAGGCUUAUGCCAUUGAAUAUAUUAGCAUGGAAUAAUGAUAUAGGACCUUGGUACUAUUUUGUUGGUUUGCGCACUGAGGUAAUGAUUAAUAGGGACAGUUGGGGGUAUUCGUAUUCCAUUGUAAGAGGUGAAAUUCUUGGAUUUUUGGAAGACGAACUACUGCGAAAGCAUUUACCAAGGAUGUUUUCAUUAA
rnacentral:rRNA from 1 species